GACGAACGCUGGCGGCGUACUUAACACAUGCAAGUCGAACGGUGAAGCGCUUGCCUUUUUGGUGGGUGUGGAUGAGUGGCGAACGGGUGAGUAACACGUGAGUAACCUGCCCUCUUCUUCUGGAUAACCUCAUGAAAGUGGGGCUAAUACGGGGUAUUCCGGGUCUGUCGCAUGGCGGGUUUGGGAAAGAUUGCGCCUUUGGGUGUUUUCGGUGGGGGAUGGGCUCGCGGCCUAUCAGCUUGUUGGUGGGGUGAUGGCCUACCAAGGCGGUGACGGGUAGCCGGCCUGAGAGGGUGGACGGCCACACUGGGACGGAGACACGGCCCAGACUCCUGCGGGAGGCAGCAGUGGGGAAUAUUGCACAAUGGGCGCAAGCCUGAUGCAGCGACGCCGCGUGAGGGAUGGAGGCCUUCGGGUUGUGAACCUCUUUCGCCAGUGAAGCAGGCCUGCUCCUGUGUGGGUGGGUUGACGGUAGCUGGAUAAGAAGCGCCGGCUAACUACGUG
rnacentral:rRNA from 1 species